CCUCUCUCAACGGGGUGCAGCUCCGGCUUUCCGGCCGGUGUUGCUGAGAUAACACCCGAGGAACCUGAUCCGGUUAAUACCGGCGUAGGGAUUUGAGCCGCCACUGCUG
rnacentral:ncRNA from 2 species